rnacentral:rRNA from 1 species
UACGUAGGGUCCGAGCGUUGUCCGGAAUUAUUGGGCGUAAAGGGCUCGUAGGCGGUCCGUCACGUCGGGAGUGAAAAACUCGGAGCUCAACUCCGAGCCUGCUUCCGAUACGGGCAGACUAGAGGUAGGCAGGGGAGAGCGGAAUUCCAGGUGUAGCGGUGAAAUGCGUAGAUAUCUGGAGGAACACCGGUGGCGAAGGCGGCAUCCUGGACCGGUAUUGACGCUGAGGCGCGAAAGCCAGGGGAGCAAACGGG